AAAAUUGUCAUUUUGCUCAAAGGAAAAAGUGCCUUCCAUCAUUUUUGACACACACGACAGAGUCUAGAAUCUGCUCUCGUCUUCCGUCUCUUCUAUUCCAACCGAUGGAGGAGUUUCAGUUCGCCUUCUUCAAACUUUCAACAAUACUCGUAGCUCUUUUCGUCUUCUUAUCUAUCUAUUAGAUUUCAGGCAUUAUUCGCUCAAUCCUUGCUCGCAUCUUCUUUGUUUUCUCUUUGUCUUCUUUUCUUUCUUUGCUACUUUUAGAUCUAUUUAACUGUUUUCAAUUUCAUGGAUAAAUUUCCUUGGAUUUUGUAUUUUCCAACCAGAUGAUGCGGAAUUACCAUUUUAAGGGCUAUUCUCCGUCCAAUUUCAUUGAUGUUGCCUUCUUCUUGCUGAUUCACCUCUAUCUCUUCUUCUUCAUAAGGUAUUGAAAUUUAUUGUUCUACUAACUUAAAACAAAAAGGAUAUUUAAUUUUACUCCUAAUUCAUGUUGUUCUUCCUUUUCUUUACAUUUUUUGUAUAUGUUAUAUUUCUAUGAAUUGUGAAUCGCGAGUAUGUUUUCAGGCUCUUCUUAACUGCCUCUGCGCACACCCCUCACUCUCCAUAGCCGAGGAAAAGAACAGUAAGAACUCAUGAUAACCUAAUUUUGAUAAAGCACUAAAAUUGGUGUAUGGGUUGAGAUUGAAAUAAAGUGAAUGAAUUAAGUCAAAUGGCUAUUGGGAAAAAUUUAUGCAUAUAAAUUUCUAUUGACAGAUUUUAUUCAUUAUUUCAUGUCUUAGGAAUGCUUAAUUAGGCUUAAGAUGAUUUGGGAACUUUUCUUAAAAGUUGUGUUCGAGCAACAUCUGAUUGUUUAAACUUAAAUUCAUUUAUCUGGCUACAAAUUUAUGGAAUAAGGAAGGUAUGUUAAAGGGCAUGUAAUGGGAUUGCUUUAUAUGAUGACUCAUUGUUGUUGAUGGGAUUUGAAAGUAGAGGAAUAUUUAAAAGUAGAGGAGUAGGAAGUAGAGCACCGAGGAUUGAUAAAGAUUGUAUGAAGUUGCAAGACACUAAUGGUCCAGAAAAAGGACGAGAAAAUAGCACAGAUAUCCAAAACUUUAAGAAGCAGACAAGAGGAAUAGAGAUGUAAGGACAUGUAUAAGAGGAUACCUAAGCCAAGGAAGUAGCUUAAUUUUUUUUAUUUUUUUAUUCCUUGUUUAUUGGCAUCCACUGAUACAAUGUGUGUUCAACUAUAAAUUAUAGUUGUUUGUCUUAUUGGAAAUUCUCAUUCACCCAUCUUUAAGCCUAAUUUGUCUUAUUUUCUACUGAUAUGUCCAUGUCUUAUUAUCAACAUAUGUUAUCUUCACCUAUACUUUCUUAUUAUUCUCUACUUUUAUGCAAUUUUAUUAGAAUAUUCUUUAAGUUUGUAUUUUAUUAAGAUAUUUUGUCCAAAAGUAUAAGUGACGGAUGGAUCUUUCCAUCUUGCAUACUUGACUGAUUGAUUCACUUGGUUACUUCUUGACAAUUGGUUUUUUCUCCUGUUAGUUCAGUACCGAAUGCAUAUGGAUUAUCAGGUUUGUAUAUUUAUCAGUGGAAAAUAUUAUUGCAUUCAUAAAUACACUUUGUUUUAACAUAAAUAUAGCAUGUAUUAAAACAUUCUUCCAUGAUGAUUACUUUCAACUUUUACAAAUUAAAACUAUUACAGGAACCUAGAAAAAGGAUUAUUUUCAAGGUCAUGAAAGAGUACUCAAAGGUCCUCCUCCAUCACUUCAAGUGGCAAAGGCUGUGAACUAUUUAACUUGGUACCCUUCUUUUUAUCCAUCAAGGCCUCUACAUGCUGCUCUUUACUUCCUUUUUGGGUGUAAGUUUUUUUUUCUUCAUAUUUAUGUUUAUCAUUGUGAUUAUUGAUGGUAAGGCCCAGCUCUCUUCGCAUUCAGUUUCUUAAAUCAAUUGGUGUGUUUGCUUUUGUGCUUUUAAUUUAUUUCAUCACUUUCAAGUUGUAGUUACAAGUUCAAAGAUCAAUUGAUUUUUUUUUAAUAUUCCGGAACAUAUGAUGACUAAUAGCUUGUUUGGCCAAGCUGCAAAAAUUAACUUAUUUUGAGAAGUGUUUUUUCUCAAAAGUGCUUUUUUCAAAAGUAUUUUUUGGUGAGAAUCAGUUUGUGUUUGGCUAAUUAAUUUGAAAAGCACUUCUGAGCAGCAAUUAGUAUUUGGCCAAGUUUUUAAAAACUGCUUCUAAGUGUAUUUUUCUUAAAAGUGCUUUUCAAAAAAGUGCUUUUGGAGAGAAGCUACUUUUUUCUGCUUCUCCAAAACUGCUUCUGCUUCUCCUCAAAAGCACUUUUCUUUCUUCAAAAAGCUUGGUCAAACACUUUAACUUUGAAAAAAAAGUACUUCUUUUAAAAAGAAAAGUGCUUUUGGCUUUGGAGAAGCUGGGCCAAACAGGCGAUAAGUCUAGCAUUCAAAAACUUUCCUCUUAGUUAGAAAAGGUAGUAUUGUAAUGCAUGAAAUAACUGGUGAUCGAGGAGGUUUUAUAUUCAUACUUUGAAAGUUCUAGCUUUGAUAUUGCCUAUUAUUUGUGGCUACAAGAGUUGCUUUAAUUUUUAUUUGGCUGAAUAGGUAGGGUGAUUUAUGAUACAAUAACAUGUCGUAGUAUGUACACUUUCGGAAAUAAGUACUUCGUAAAAUUGUACUAUUGUUAGGUAUUGAGUUUUAUUUGUGAAUUGAAGUAUAUAACUCUUUCGCACAGUGUAUUAAUACCAUGAGAUAUUUUUCCGUUCUAUGAGUUUAUCUACUAAGAUUAAGGACAAAUAAAAUAAGAAAUCAAGGAUAGUUUUGCAUAAUUAUUGUAGUGUAUUUGGUAACAGUGGCAUGGUAUAACUUUGUUUGUUUCCUUGGUUAUAAGUCUUUGCAAAUUAAAUAUAAUGUACUACAAAUGUAUUUAUAAAAAAGUGCAAUUUAUGCAAAAAGGGUGACAAGAACAAACCAAAAUUUUGAGGAAAAAAAAAAACAUAUUACCUAGGCUGAGUGCCAUUUCAAACAUAAGGUGCUCUUGCAGAUAGAAUAACACAAAAACGUCAUUAUUGUUACUUAGUUGAUCAACCAUUAGAAGUUUGUUGAUUGACCGUUGUUUGGGAAGUUCUAGAAUAAGUACCAUCUUGAGCUAACUAUCUUGAACACAAUUUUAUGUUUGAUUAUAUCUUCUUCAGUAUUUCGUGAACUCUAAAUUAUUUUCAUUGUUGACUCUGGUAGAAAUUGAUUAUUCAUCAAUGGGAGAUUUAAAAGAACCCCAUGACUGAGGUAUGUAUUAGGUCUUGAGCACUACCAGCUUACUCAAUAUAUUUAGAUAUAAAGAAUGUGUUUUAUUGUAAUUGUCUUGAAGAGUUUGUACUUGAAUUAAACUAUCUACUCAGUUUCCUUUCGAUAUUUGACUUAUGGAACUUCAGUUUGAUACUUUAUGUGAUAAAUACAGUCAAUAAAUCAAUCUAUCUAUGUCUUGAAACAGAGAAGAAACUUUUCAAUUAAGGUUUGUGAAGAAAAUGAGAAAAGCAAAGUGGAUCACUUUUUUAUAUUUCCCUUUUCGUGUAUUAGAAAAUUUUAUUAUUGACAAAGACCACACUAAGAUAAUGCUGAGAUGACAUAAAAGAAAUAUUAAUAUCAGUCCAUAUUUAUUCUUGCAGUGAUGACAAAAAAUAUAUCAAUGUAUUUACUUCAUAUCCUUAUAUGUUCUUUAUAACGAAUGAACUUUUUGUGUCACUUAAUAGUCAUAUGAUAUUAAUGUAUCUUUUUCUUUUAUAUGAGGGAAAGUAAAAUGCAUUGACCAACUUUUCUGGACAUCAUUUGCAUUUCACAUAAGUUGUGUCAGCAUUAGCUUAUCAAAGAAAACAUAAGGCUUAGCAUUUUUUCGAUUUUUUCGUUAAUUGUUAGGUGGUUAAAUCUUAAUGAUAGGAAGAUCCUAUACUGUUUUGAUAAAAUAUUAUAUUUGAUGUAUCUUUAGAUUGUAGUAACAGUGUCUUGCUAUAAAAGGCCAUAAUUUGACUCUUGAGUAUAGUAUUUUUCGAGUAGUUUAUUUGUGGUGAUCGCACUUAUCUCUUUAUGUCGUGAUAUUUUUCAAUUCUUGCUAUCAUUUAAUAUUUUCUAUCUCUAAAUAUUUGACUUCUUAUUCUCUACUUGGAAUAGGACAGGUUGUCUGAAGAACACAUAGUAGCAGAUGUAUGAAUGCAAUACACAAAAUAUUUGCCAUACUUUAUGUGGCUCUUAGUUGGACUAUGUUCUCUUUUGUUUAUAGUACAAACACGGAUAGCAACUGAUAUAUUUAGUUGAUCACGUAGCAUAAGAUAGUGGGUAGAAAACGAUGAAGAAAUAAGGCGUACUUGAGCUUGAGUUUGAUUUUGUAAGUAUAUUUAAAGGAAGUUGAAGAAAAGGAAAUAUUUAGCUCAAUUUUGAUAAAUCUAGGGAAGCAAUA
rnacentral:lncRNA from 1 species